rnacentral:lncRNA from 1 species
GCUGUUAUUUCUGUGACAUCCCUUGUCCAGGUACCAAAGUUGGGAGCUGGGUGGCAUUUGACAAAUCAGACAACACAGCGUCUCCAUCUGGACAGGAGAUGUCUCAAGUUCCCUUCAAGUUCUCUGACUCCGAGGAAUGCUUUUAUGGCUCCCCCUCUCUAAAAUUCUGACCCUUCAUUCACCCGUACACAGGUCCACAUGACGAUCCUCUGCACUCCAGCCCAGGCUCCUGGGACAGAGGAAAAUACUCCAGGUGAGAGCUAAGUCACAUUCCAUUUCACCCAAGAGUCAGAGGCAGGGAAGGAGUAAGGGAGCCCCUCGCUAAUGGUGCCCUUGAAAACAGAGAGGGCGCUGGGACCCCUUUCCGUGGCAUCACAGGGGCAACCGCCCCCUUGCAUGACAGGUGCCUGAAGCCCGCCCUGCCAGCACGGUCAGGAGUCUCAGGCCGUCUGCAGCAGGAGAACUUGGCCCCCCGUCACAGAAUGACAGAAGUGAGAAAAGCUCACCAGUGAUGCCCACCACUCCUCCAUUAGAGGCCACAGACCCAAAGAGGGUCUGGGGACUUGUUGGAGGCCACACAGCAAGCAAGAGCAGAGUGGGGGCUGCGAACAUGGCCCCUGGCUCCCUCCCUGGUGCUUCCCACUUUCUUUAACAGUGGAGCAGGGAGGAAGAAGGGCGGGUGGGAUAUCAUGCCAUGCUGACAGGCUCUGAUUUAAAAAUACUCAGAUCAGACGGGAGAUGAAGCCAAGGGCCCAUCUGCACGCCAGUCACCUGGGACUCCCAGUGUCAAUGCCAGCUGUGGCCAGGUGAUGACUUUCUAUAAACAACUGGAGCUCUUAAGCUUGGCUGGUGCUAGAGUGUGACAAGGGACAGAGGCAGAAAGGAGCAAAAGUCCUCUGUGGCCUACAAGACCCCAGGGAGGGCUUGGCUUAAGGUAGGGAAUGGGGAGAACUGGAGCAGGUGGACGGUGUGGGAGAGAGUCUGGAGCAGGAUACAAGCUGGGUCUCAAUGAGGCUCUGCUUCUCUUUGCCUUCACCUCGCCCCAACAUGGCUCCCUGUUCACACCCACCGAGUGGGUCCUGUGUGUGUGUGUGUGUGUGUGUGUGCGGUGGGGCAGGGGCCUGGUGCCUGAGACUGUAGAACUCAGAAAGAGACUGGAGUUGGGGAAGCCCUGGAAGAGGGGACAGCUCAGACUCCUAACUCUGAAAAUGACCUAGGCUGGUCCCUCAGGGCAGGUGGCUCUGGGUACUGGUGCUGUCCUGUACCUGAGUGUGUUUUGGUGUGCUACACAGCCUGGGCCUGUCUGUGCAUGACCCAGGAAGCCAGCAGCCAUUCCUGACAAGUCUCCACCUGUCCCGAGUCAAACCUCUCCAGGUGCCAUUUGAUGUGCUUGGCUGGGGAAUGUGACUUCUGUGUCACCUCUUCCUCUCCCUGGGGGCUUAGUGAUCCAGAGCCUCACAAGAAGCAAAGGGGCCUUGGAGCCCCUGUGGAGCAUCCAGUUGGCCACUCCUCUGCAGUCCCACAGCCUGCCACCCCCACACCCCCAACGGUGAGGAUCAUUAACCUUUUCUCAGAACCCCAAGGUGCCAGCAGAUUGGUCCCCAGCUACCAAGUAUCUGAUUUUGUCCCUUCCACCUCUGUGAACCCUCCUGCUCAGUGUUACAGCCCACAGGGACAGAGGUACAUAAAGAGGCUCUGAGGAGCUGGGACGCAGGGUCCCUUGGGCUUCACUUCAGGACCUCCUUGCACUUGGGCCCUGUGGACAUGGCCGGCUGGCAUGUCCCCAACAUGCCACCUUCCGUCUCAGUAAGUUUCCACAGGCCCUUCCCUCUGUGAGGCUGCUUCUCAGGUGCAGGGGAAAGUGGAGAAGCCUCCCUCCCUGCCCCUCGCCUCCCUUGACUGACUGAAGAAAGCAAUGCCGGCUAAGAACUCCAAUCCAAGCAUACCAACUUCCAUCGCUGGGGUCUGGGGAGGGCAGCCGGGCACUGCGGGACUGCCCCCCUACAGCUCAGAGCAGAGGCCUCUGAGGCUGGCUGAAGUUCAGGAACCACUGUUCUCGCAUUUUCUUUAUACCUCUGCCCCAUGCCCGUCACAGCAUUGCUGGAAUUACCAUUGCUGGCUCCUUGAGGACAGGGACUUGUCUUGCAGUCCCAGGAAAUGUGUCAGCCUUGUGAAUUAGACUCAGAUGUGCAUUUUAAUUAGAUGUCAUGUGAAUAAUUCCUCACCUCCCACUCACUCCCAUCUUCUCUACCCUUCCAUCCACCCAGGCCCCAGGGGGAAUCUUAUCUGCCCUCAGUACAAAAAGAAAAUUGUCCUCCUCUCUCUCACUUAUCUCCUCCUCUCCUUCCUUCCUUCUUCCCAGGUAGCCAUUGGGGGCUCGUGGAACUGAGAGCGAGGAUGGAAUAGGGUCUCGUGGAGUGAAAGGAAGCUCCGGGUGUAUGUCAGGGCUUGGGCGAGCAGAGUAGUGGGAGGGCGUGUGUGAGAUAUUGAUCCCUGCUCCAAUGUUGCCAAGACUUCAAAAGCCUUCUAGGUGUUUCCUGGGUUGCACUGUCCUCUCAAAAUACAAAAACAGACUGAGGGAGUCUAGCCUGAACCCCCUCGCACACAGACUCCUUCAAGGACACCCUGAGCCCUUCAUGGGCUCCCUUUGGGAUGGUCCCUUCCCGGGGGAUGCUGAGAGCCACUGCCGAGUCUGUAUGGCCCCUGGCAUUUUGCCAACAGUAUUGAUUGACAGGCGAGGCAUUACUAUCCGCCUCUGCCCCGACUUUUGAGUUCUCGCACUAUUUUGGAGUUCUCGUGGGGAUUUCCAGGGAUUCCCCGAGAGUUCCCAUUGGUUGGGGAAGUGCAGGAGGAAGGAUUUCCGGGAGAGAUAUUUCCGGCUGGGGGUUCCUGGACAAGCCUCGUGGCGUUAGGGAGGAUUCCCUGGGAGCUGUGUGAAGUGUUUUCCUGCAGUUUAAAAAUAAAGUUUGUUCCUGCUUCAGUGGCUCGUGACUUGUGCCCAGCCAGACUGCGGCGGGGGGGGCACAGGCCUGUGGAAAUAGAACUGGAAAUGGAGGGUGACCGUGGCCAAAGAGACAUACAUGCCGCAGAAGCACGGUACUGAGCCAACGUGCCAGACAGACCAGCUUCUGUCUGUACUCAGCCAAGGCCAGUGAUUUGCAGCACAAGAUUUCCAGGAACACAGAAGCAUGGCGAUCACUAGGGAUAUAUACAAUCCAGGUGUCCUCCCUCCCUCCCUCCCUCCCUCCUUCCUUCCUUCCUUCCUUCCUUCCUUCUAGAUGUCUUUUAAGAGUGAAAGGGGUGCUAGUGUUAAUUACACUAGGACAACAGGCACAAGCUGGGAUGUAAGGUCACUUCACCAUGUGUAUCCUGGAUCAGCCAUAUUUCUCCCAUGUGGUCUAGGCCAGGGGUACAGAUGUAGGAGGAAGGUGGGGUGUCUCCUGGCCCCUGGUCCCUCCCCACAACCUCUUAGCCCUCUUUCAACUCAAGAAGCCAGGAAGCAACUGGGUCGUCAGGAGCUCCAGCUAAAUGGGCCUUUGGCCAGGUACUUUACCUACAGUGACUCUGCUGUAACUCCACGUGCCUUCACACUGGGCCCUCAGCUCAUCUUUCCUCAUGAUAACCCUGGGCAAGUAUUAAAAGCUCCAUCUGAGAGGGGGCCACAGUUGUCAGAGCUGAUUCUGGAACCCAGGACUUCUGACUCACAGGCCAGAGUUCCUCCUUCCCCACAUGUACCCUCGUCAUGGGGCAGGAAAGAUGGCAGCUGGGGUUGUGGCUUGGAUUGAUGGGCGGGUACCCCACCUCUCAGUUGCCACCUCCCAGGACCUAUGCCAGCGGUAGUUCUGAUGGUAGAGAAAUCUGUCACUGGAGGGGUGAACUUCUGGGAGCAUCUGUGCAUUGAUAAAAUAUCCCAAGCAUUCAUUGAAUAUCUUACUUUGCACAGUCACCAUCAGAGCCCUAAAGAUGUGGCAGCAAGCAGAGUCUGCCCUUAAAGGUGUGUAAAGUCAUGUUAGAAAAUGACAAAUUUAGGGGGAAAGAUGGUGGAAGGAGAUGGACA